CAGCCGCCACGGGAAUACGUAGGUGGCAAGCGUUGUCCGGAAUUAUUGGGCGUAAAGGGCUCGCAGGCGGUUUCUUAAGUCUGAUGUGAAAGCCCCCGGCUCAACCGGGGAGGGUCAUUGGAAACUGGGAAACUUGAGUGCAGAAGAGGAGAGUGGAAUUCCACGUGUAGCGGUGAAAUGCGUAGAGAUGUGGAGGAACACCAGUGGCGAAGGCGACUCUCUGGUCUGUAACUGACGCUGAGGAGCGAAAGCGUGGGGAGCGAACAGGAUUAGAGACCCCCGUAGUCCCUGUCUCUUAUAA
rnacentral:rRNA from 1 species